rnacentral:rRNA from 1 species
CCUACGGGGGGCAGCAGUGGGGAAUAUUGGACAAUGGGGGGAACCCUGAUCCAGCCAUGCCGCGUGUGUGAAGAAGGCCCUCGGGUUGUAAAGCACUUUCAGUGAGGAAGAACGCCUGGUGGUUAAUACCCAUCAGGAAAGACAUCACUCACAGAAGAAGCACCGGCUAACUCCGUGCCAGCAGCCGCGGUAAUACGGAGGGUGCGAGCGUUAAUCGGAAUUACUGGGCGUAAAGCGCGCGUAGGUGGCUUGAUAAGCCGGUUGUGAAAGCCCCGGGCUCAACCUGGGAACGGCAUCCGGAACUGUCAAGCUAGAGUGCAGGAGAGGAAGGUAGAAUUCCCGGUGUAGCGGUGAAAUGCGUAGAGAUCGGGAGGAAUACCAGUGGCGAAGGCGGCCUUCUGGACUGACACUGACACUGAGGUGAGAAAGCGUGGGUAGCAAACAGGAUUAGAUACCCGGGUAGUC